rnacentral:rRNA from 1 species
CAGCACCUCAAGUGGUCAGGAUUAUUAUUGGGCCUAAAGCAUCCGUAGCCUGCUUUGUUAGUUUUCGGUUAAAUCCAUAUGCUCAACGUAUGGGCUGCCGGGAAUACUGCAAAGCUAGGGAGUGGGAGAGGUAGACGGUACUCGGUAGGAAGGGGUAAAAUCCUUUGAUCUAUUGAUGACCACCUGUGGCGAAGGCGGUCUACCAGAACACGUCCGACGGUGAGGGAUGAAAGCUGGGGGAGCAAACCGGAUUAGAUACCCGAGUAGUCC